CUUAGUGACUAUAUGUAAACCUUGACAGGAUGCUGUGCGAUUGUACCUGAUAAAUUCUCCAGUUGUACGUGCUGAGCCACUACGGUUCAAAAAAGAAGGAGUACUUGGUGUUGUCAAAGAUGUUUUCCUUCCAUGGUACAAUGCAUAUCGGUUCCUUGUUCAGAAUGCAAAGAGACUUGAGACUGAGGGUGGUGCACCCUUUGUUCCUACUGAUCUGGCAACUUUACAGUCGGCAAACGUUCUUGAUAAGUGGAUUCACUCAGCUACGCAAAGUCUU